rnacentral:rRNA from 1 species
AAGCGGAGGAAAAGAAACCAACAGGGAUUGCCCCAGUAACGGCGAGUGAAGCGGCAACAGCUCAAAUUUAAAAUCUGGCCCCUGGGCCCGAGUUGUAAUUUGCAGAGGAUGCCUCGGGUGAGUGCGCUGUCGAGUCCCCUGGAACGGGGCGCCCAAGAGGGUGAGAGCCCCCUACGGCAUGCGCACGGGCCCUGGUGAGGCUCCUUCGACGAGUCGAGUAGUUUGGGAAUGCUGCUCCAAAUGGGAGGUAAACCCCUUCUAAAGCUAAAUACAAGCCGGAGACCGAUAGCGGACAAGUAGAGUGAUCGAAAGAUGAAAAGCACCUUGGAAAGGGGGUUAAACAGCACGUGAAAUUGUUGAAGGGGAAGCGUUUGUGACCAGAGCGGCGCCGUAGGGUCAGUGAGAGGGUAGAACUUACAUAUUCCACACGGCGCCGGCCAGCACCGGCUCCAGCGGGGGGACAAGGCCGCCGGCAAUGUGGCACCCCUCCGGGGGUGUGUUAUAGGCCGGCGGGCGAUACCCCCGCGGGGGCCGAGGAACGCGCACCGCGAGGAUGCUGGCAUAAUGGUCACCAGCGACCCGUCUUGAAACACGGACCAAGGAGUCGUCCAUUGGAGCGAGCGUUUGGGUGCAAAGCCCGCACGCGUAAUGAAAGUGAACGCAGGUGAGAGCCUCGGCGCAUCAUCGACCGGUCCCGAUGUUCUCGGAAGGAUCUGAGUAGGAGUUCUAACGGACGGACCCGAAAGACAGUGAACUAUGCUUGUAUAGGGUGAAGCCAGAGGAAACUCUGGUGGAGGCUCGCAGCGGUUCUGACGUGCAAAUCGAUCGUCAAAUAUGAGCAUGGGGGCGAAAGACUAAUCGAACUGUCUAG